CACGACUACAUUAGAUACCCGUGUAGUCCUAGCCGUAAACGAUACUCGCUAGGUGUCGGCCACGGUGCGACCGUUGUCGGUGCCGUAGGGAAGCCGUGAAGCGAGCCACCUGGGAAGUACGGCCGCAAGGCUGAAACUUAAAGGAAUUGGCGGGGGAGCACCACAACGGGUGGAGCUUGCGGUUUAAUUGGAUUCAACGCCGGAAAUCUUACCGGGACCGACAGCAACAUGAAGGCCAGGCUGAAGACUUUGCCGGAUUAGCUG
rnacentral:rRNA from 1 species